GACGAACGCUGGCGGCGUGCUUAACACAUGCAAGUCGAACGGAAAGGCCCUGCUUUUGUGGGGUGCUCGAGUGGCGAACGGGUGAGUAACACGUGAGUAACCUGCCCUUGACUUUGGGAUAACUUCAGGAAACUGGGGCUAAUACCGGAUAGGAGCUCCUGCUGCAUGGUGGGGGUUGGAAAGUUUCGGCGGUUGGGGAUGGACUCGCGGCUUAUCAGCUUGUUGGUGGGGUAGUGGCUUACCAAGGCUUUGACGGGUAGCCGGCCUGAGAGGGUGACCGGCCACAUUGGGACUGAGAUACGGCACAGACUCCUACGGGAGGCAGCAGUGGGGAAUAUUGCACAAUGGGCGGAAGCCUGAUGCAGCAACGCCGCGUGCGGGAUGACGGCCUUCGGGUUGUAAACCGCUUUCGCCGGUGACGAAGCGUGAGUGACGGUAAUGGGUAAAGAAGCACCGGCUAACUACGUG
rnacentral:rRNA from 1 species